rnacentral:lncRNA from 1 species
UCUCUGUUAUCCCCGUGAAGAGGGGUUACUGGGGAAACAAGAUCGGUUUGCCUCAUACAGUGCCCUGCAAGGUGACUGGUAAGUGUGGUUCCGUUACUGUGAGGAUGGUUCCUGCACCUCGUGGUGCUGGAAUCGUUGCUGCUCGCGUGCCCAAGAAGGUCCUUCAGUUUGCUGGAAUUGAGGAUGUUUUCACUUCCUCCCGUGGCUCUACUAAGACCCUCGGCAACUUCGUCAAGGUUUGAAUCCUUUACUUCCAAAAUUGGGGAAUGCGCUUUAAUCCAUUGAAGGAUGAUGUUCUGGUUCCUAAUAUUCUUUGGUAUUCUGAAUAUCUGGGGUAAUCAUAUUUGAUGAAAGCUUGGAAUUUUGAAAAGCUAUGCUGAAUUCAAUGUGUAAAGCUGAUAACUUUGGGUAUUGUUUCAUUUAUAUUAGAUGAAUUUACUCUUAAAGGCUUCCAGCUAUGUGUCGGUAGCUAAAAUUUUCGUUAUGGGAUAAGUAUUGGUUGAUUGCUAUUGGAUAUUAGUAAUUUGGGAUGUUCCAAUGUUCUGUGUGUUUUCUUUAUGUAUCAUUACAGAACGUUAAGGUUUCUCUUUGAAGUUUCUCAUUUAUACAAUGUUACCGUUGUUUCAGGCUACCUUUGACUGUCUCCUGAAGACAUACGGAUUCUUGACUCCUGAUUUCUGGAAGGAUACCCGGUUCAGCAAAUCUCCAUUCCAAGAGUACACUGAUCUAUUGGGAAAGCCAACCAAGGCUCUUGUCCUUGAGGAUGUUGAAAGGGUAGCAGAAGCUUGAUUCCAUGUUAUGGGAAAUGUGGUCCGUCUACUUUUUCCAGAAUGUUAAAGAGAAUCCGUGAUAGAGCAAGAGAGGGUAGCAAAUAUUAUAGAUUUCUUUGAACCUUGUUAUCAUUUUGGUUUAUGUUCACGGUGAUUUUGCCUAUGUUCUCGUGACAUAUUUUGUAUUGUUAGCUUCUUUUUGAUCGGUUUGGUUAAGUCAGUAACUACCUUCUUCAAAAAGUGCCGAAUUUUUUGUUUCCUUAUAACAUUGGGUAGUUAAACUUGUAUUAAGUUGAGAAUUAUAACAGCUGCUAUAUUUGUGCGGCCAACUUGCAAAAACAACACUUAAAAAGAAGUGAUUCAGGCUGUCUGGCCACACGCCCCUGGCCAAUUCUUUAUUAGUUCAACAUUUGUAACCACGUGCAUGUACUGCGCGUGGAAUCUUUUACUUUUUUUUUUCUUUUUCUAUUUUAUAAAGUCAAUUAAGGUUACUAUUUCAUUAUUAAUUUGUCCUUCGUACCAAUUUCGUCUCGAAAUAAAGCAUAUAACAAAGAAAAAUAAAAAUGUUCAUCCAAUCAUUCAUAAGUUAGAUUCAUUGAAAAUAAAACAACAAAUUACAAGUUUAGUUAGUUUUAGAGUUGAAGCAGUUACAAUUUUCGAGGCGACUAAAAGACUAAAACCUCAUUUAACCGUCUUCUAUUAUAUACGGAGGGUUGAGAUUAAUUUUUUAUCUCUUUCCAAGACAUACUCAUCUUCUUUAUCAAGUUUUUGUUCAGAUCUAUUAAAUCAUUGGAUUAAUACUUCAAAGUGUUUCUCGCCUUAUAUAACCCAAUCUUUCUUGAUUAUAUUAAGUAAAUCCUAAUAAGACUAAUAUAUCAAUAUAUAAAUUUUUCUUGUAAACAUACAAAAAUAUUUGGUGUCCAAUACUAUCAGAUAGGUUUUUUUUCUCAAUUAGCUCAGUGAGGAAACAUAUAAAUAAAAAGCAGUAAAACCUAAACAUCGGACUGCCAACAAUAUCGCUAGAAUAUAUCCAAGAGAUAAGAAUGUCACAAAAUGGGCGGCUUCAUUAAUUGAACGACGAAUGGUCUGAAGGAGGAUCCCAUCGGCGAACAGUAAGUCCAGUAUGUCUCUGACAAUAAAGCCACCAAAUCUAGAUGAACAUGACCAAUACGUACAUGAUAAGUAACUAACUGAAUAUCACUCUCAAUGUCCACCUAAAAAAAACCAACCCGACAAUACCACAAACAAGCAUCACGAGUGACAUGCAAUAUUACCAAUUAUAGAGGAUCAUACAUACCUGGUUACGUCAUACCAAUCACGUGUAAAAUAGCCCAUGUAGUUACAAACUAAUAUUAAGCAUGAUAAUAAUACAAGGCAUAUAACUACUGAAAAAAAAAUAGAGUUUAACUUCCUGGAAUGAAGUGAGAGAUCCCUAGGAAUUGUCAUGAGACAAUUCUAUGAGCAAUAUGAACUGCUUUAUGCAGGUAAUCCAAGCCUUCCUUAGUAGUAGUACCUACAACUAUAUGAUAGCGUGGAUAAUGUCGUGGCAAACAAAGAAGGAAGAAGAGAAAGGAAAAGAAGACUUGCAACAAUGAAUAAGCAGCCCCAAAUUUUGGCACAAACCACAGAUAGAUGGCGGAGAGGAAGCCAAGGACUUGCCAACCAGUCCCACCUUUACAAAUCCCAACCGGCCGCCGACGUCACUACUACUCCCACUUUCGCUUCUCCACUACUGCUAUCAUUAACGCUGUCGUAUCUCUUGCUCAAGUUGUGACUUCGUAGUUGUCAAUGAUGUAGUAACUUGUGUGAUUCACCAACACCAAACGAGUAUUGAUUGAUGAAUAAGAAUAUAGAGUAUAGAAAACCAGUAGCUGUCCCCUCAAUCAUGCGGGAAAACUAUGAAGCCUGGUCCGGUCAUGGUGCCAGGUCGGUAAACGGAAUAACCGUUGGUGCACAAGGCAAAGACCCACCGGAUUAAGAUCCGGUGAUAAGGCCAUAAAUGGCAAAGGAUGAGGAUGGUGGACAGGAGAAGAGUGGAAGGAAGGGUCGGAGAAAACCCCGAGAGAUACCGGCGGAAGUACGAGAGCAGUUGAGUAGUAACUGCCUCAGAGAACUCUUGGUAUUUGGCAUUUGCAUGGCAGUUCCAUCUUACUACUAUCAGAUAGUUAGAUGCAUGAUUGGUUUUUCAAUAACUCGUGAUAAUUUAUCAAAAUGAAAUAGUGUCAAUGGCUAACCUCUCUAUUACAACAUAACAAACUAACUCCAACAUGAAUCAAGUUGCAUCUAUAUUUUCAGUAUCUUUUCUUUCAACAUAUGCAUGUCAUUACAACCCUCAAUUCUCUCCGAAUUAUCGACAUAUAUAUAUAAUACAAAUAUGCAAUAAAUAAAGAGACAAUGUCAAACCUUCUAAAGUUGCUUGUCUCAUCUUCAUAAAUUAAACCGUCCAAGUUAAAGAAGUCAACUUCAGAGAUGGAGAUUAUAAUAGAUUUGAGUUCAAUCACUCGAGAAACGCUCUUUUAUCAUGCUUGCAACGUUUGAAACACAAACACAAAAUUCCAAAGUAGCAUCAAAUAGACUCCAAACGGAUUGACGGGAAUAAAGAAAACAAUUAAUCAUAAGUAGCCUAAACUACUUAAAACGAAUAUUUUCGGACGAUAACUAACGAUAUACCGUUUUGAAGUCCAAGAGCCCACGGCCCAUAUAUUAAAAGUCCAACAAACUAGGCCAUCAUUUCUUGCCCAUUAAAAACUUGAACUAUGUUGUAGACAUUAAAACCCCUAAACCCACCACGCCGCUUUCCAAUCUUUAUCCACCCUUGCGCACAAACCCUAAUCGUUUCACAGUUUCACUGCAAAUUGAGAAACAAUGUCUGACAGAGUAGCCGGCGGAGACCGACCACCACGCAGAGGGUUCGGCGGUCGUGGUGGAGACCGUGGAGGCAGAGGAGGACGCCGCCGCGGUGGCCGUCGUGAGGAGGAAGAAAAAUGGGUUCCAUGCACCAAGCUGGGUCGUCUGGUGAGGGAAGGUAAGAUCAAAUCCUUGGAGCAGAUCUACCUCCACUCCCUCCCAAUUAAGGAGUACCAGAUCAUCGAUACUCUCGUCGGGCCUUCCCUCAAGGACGAGGUGAUGAAAAUCUCCCCUGUCCAGAAGCAGACUCGCGCCGGUCAGAGGACUCGAUUCAAGGCGUUCGUCGUUGUCGGAGACGGGAAUGGCCACGUCGGAUUGGGCGUGAAGUGCUCCAAGGAAGUUGCUACUGCCAUUCGUGGAGCAAUCAUCCUUGCUAAGCUCUCUGUUAUCCCGGUGAGGAGGGGUUACUGGGGAAACAAGAUCGGUUUGCCUCAUACAGUGCCCUGCAAGGUGACUGGUAAGUGUGGUUCCGUUACUGUGAGGAUGGUUCCUGCACCUCGUGGUGCUGGAAUCGUUGCUGCUCGUGUGCCCAAGAAGGUCCUUCAGUUUGCUGGAAUUGAGGAUGUUUUCACUUCCUCCCGUGGCUCUACUAAGACCCUUGGCAACUUCGUCAAGGUUUGAAUUCUUUCUGUUAUUUUAGAAAUGCCCUUCAAUUGAAUGAUGCUUUUAGGUCUGUCAUAACCGCGAAUCGAUAUCUUUUGAUGAAUCUGUAUUCAUUUGUUUCAACUGCUCUGUUUAUAGGCUUUCAGUUUCCCAUAUAUAUUGUUUGAAGGGAUGAUGUUCUGGUUCAUAAUACAU